rnacentral:rRNA from 1 species
AUGGGUGAAGUGCCAGUGCUUUUGCAGGGGCCCCAUGACGCCGGGCACCGUUGCCACCUAUUUUUGAAACCAAAUACUAAGCAUGAUUAUCGGUCUUUCAGACUUCGAACCAUAAAGAAAACAUGGCCAAUACACAAUCAUUUCCUUGCUCACCUUGACGCUUAUGGACUACAAGGUUUUGCUAGGCUCACAUCAUGCGACGACCAAGUACGUUCGGACCCAUCCCUUUUGACAUCCCUCGUUGACCGGUGGAGACCUGAAACCCACACCUUUCACUUUCGUUUUGGGGAGCUUGCACCUACACUGAAAGAUGUUUCUAUGAUCACUGCUCUACCAAUUAGAGGUGAGCCGGUAGUCUCUCCACGAGUGUCUCCAUCUUGGGCAUUAGAUAUAGCAGCCCGUCUUGGGAUGGAAAUGCCAGAAUCACAACGUUUUGGUAACCCUCGGGGCAUCCCACUCGUCUGGCUUCGUGAUAACUUUCUUAAUUUAUCUAGCUUCGCCAAUGAGGAGACGAGAAAAAGACAUCUAUUUGCAUAUUUGUUGUGGCUCCUCGGGAAUCUAUUUCCAAAUUCACAUGGGGACGUUGUUGUCCCUGGUCUCAUCUACAUUGCAGAGAAUAUGGUAGAUGAACCUUUACCCGAGCAGCCAAAAUACAGCUUCGGUUCUGCCAUGCUAUCUCAUACAUACAGAGGCUUGUGUGAUGCCACGCAAAAAACCUCUUUCGCACAAAAAGCUCCAUUACUUUGUGUCGCCUAUGAGUUUCUAUAG